rnacentral:rRNA from 1 species
UAAUACGUAGGGUGCAAGCGUUAAUCGGAAUUACUGGGCGUAAAGCGUGCGCAGGCGGUUUUGUAAGUCAGAUGUGAAAUCCCCGGGCUUAACCUGGGAACUGCGUUUGAAACUACAAGGCUAGAGUGUAGCAGAGGGGGGUGGAAUUCCACGUGUAGCAGUGAAAUGCGUAGAGAUGUGGAGGAACACCGAUGGCGAAGGCAGCCCCCUGGGUUAACACUGACGCUCAGGCACGAAAGCGUGGGGAGCAAACAGGAUUAGAUACCCUGGUAGUCCACGCCCUAAACGAUGUCAACUAGUUGUCGGGUCUUAACGGACUUGGUAACGCAGCUAACGCGUGAAGUUGACCGCCUGGGGAGUACGGUCGCAAGAUUAAAACU